GAUGAAGAACGUAGUGAAAUGCGAUACUUGGUGUGAAUUGCAGAAUCCCGUGAACCAUCGAGUCUUUGAACGCAAGUUGCGCCCGAAGCCAUUAGGCCGAGGGCACGCCUGCCUGGGCGUCACACGUCGUUGCCCCCCCAUCUACUCCUUCGGGAUUGCGGGGGGCGGAUGAUGGCCUCCCGUGCGCCUCGUCGCGCGGUUGGCAUAAUUGCCAAGUCCUCGGCGACACACGCCACGACAAUCGGUGGUUGCGAAACCUCGGUCGCCCGUCGUGUGCGGUCGUCGCGCAUCGAGGGCUCGAAAAAAUUGCCGGGCUCCGGCUCGGCUUUCAACGCGACCCCAGGUCAGGCGGGGUUACCCGCUGAAUUUAAGCAUAUCAAUAAGCGGAGGA
rnacentral:misc_RNA from 1 species